GCCUUCGUGGUGUAGUGGUCAGUACGCUCGAUGCGUAAUCGAGAGGUCCGCGGUUCAAUUCCCGGCGAAGGCG
rfam:Stegodyphus mimosarum contig125272, whole genome shotgun sequence.